rnacentral:rRNA from 1 species
UACAGAGGUCCCGAGCGUUGUUCGGAUUCACUGGGCGUAAAGGGUGCGUAGGUGGCGAGGUAUGUCGGCUGUGAAAGCUCGGAGCUCAACUCCGAAAUGGCAUUGGAAACUACCUUGCUCGAGGGUUGGAGGGGGGACUGGAAUACUUGGUGUAGCAGUGAAAUGCGUAGAUAUCAAGUGGAACACCAGUGGCGAAGGCGAGUCCCUGGACAACACCUGACACUGAGGCACGAAAGCUAGGGGAGCAAACAGG